AUUGAACGCUGGCGGCAGGCCUAACACAUGCAAGUCGAGCGGAGCGGCGGACGGGUGCGUAAUGCCUACGAAUCUGCCUGGUAGCGGGGGAUAACGUCCGGAAACGGGCGCUAAUACCGCAUACUAUCAGACGAGUCUAGGUCGGAUUAGCGAGUUGGUGGGGUAAAGGCCUACCAGGGCGACGAUCCGUAACUGGUCUGAGAGGAGGAUCAGUCACACUGGAACUGAGACACGGUCCAGACUCCUACGGGAGGCAGAAGUGGGGAAUAUUGGACAAUGGGGGAAAGCCUGAUCCAGCCAUGCCGCGUGUGUGAAGAAGGUCUUCGGAUUGUAAAGCACUUUAAGUUGGGAGGCGUUACCAACAGAAUAAGCACCGGCUAACUUCGUGCCAGCCGCCGCGGUAAUUC
rnacentral:rRNA from 1 species